ACUGGAACCUCAACAUCUACUUCAACUGCACUGACUUGAACCCAAGCCGCGAGCGCUGUGGGGUGCCCUUCUCCUGCUGUGUUAGGGACCCUGCGGAAGACGUCCUCAAUACCCAGUGUGGCUAUGACAUCCGACUCAAACUGGAGCUGGAGCAGCAAGGCUCCAUCUACACCAAAGGCUGCGUGGGCCAGUUUGAGAAGUGGCUCCAAGAUAACCUGAUUGUGGUGGCCGGGGUCUUGGUGGCCAUUGCCCUCCUCCAGAUAUGUGGCAUCUGCUUGGCCCAGAACCUCGUGAGUGACAUCGAGGCAGUAAAGGCCAACUGGAGCCUGCUGUCUCAGACCACUCCAUAUUCACCAUGACCUUGAACCUGCCUGGAGCUCACCUUGGCCUCAGUGUCACAGCCUCUGAAAUGGGUCCAAGAAUCCUCUCUGUCUCUCUCUCUCGCUUGCCUCUCAGGACCACACAUGGUGAUGGCUACGAGCGACUCAAUAAACACUUUGAAAAACA
rnacentral:lncRNA from 1 species